UGGUUAUAUGGUUUUCUGUCAGAAAAUUACAAAGGAAACUGCUGAGAGCUUAGAAAGUUAUCCUGAAUGUACUUUUAACGGUUAUAAAUCAAUAACAUCCUUUAUUUGCCCUAUAUAUAUAUUUAAAUAAGUAAAAUGUUCAGAGGAUUUUUUACAUUCGUUAUAGGCCUAUAUGCCGGAAUAUACUUAGCUCAGAAUUAUGAUGUACCAAAGGUAGAUGACCCUCAAAAUUUAUUUAAUAAGGUUAAAGAAUUCGCUGAUAAACAUAGGAAAGAUUAAAACAAAUUUAUAGAUAAUGAAACAUUUAAUUUAAUAAAUAUUAUAUAUAUUA